rnacentral:rRNA from 1 species
UAAGCAUAUCAAUAAGCGGAGGAAAAGAAACUAACAAGGAUUCCCCUAGUAACUGCGAGUGAAGCGGGAACAGCUCAAAUUUGAAAUCUCCGCGGUCCCCGCGGCGAAUUGUAGUUUCAAGAGGCGUUUUCGGUGGCGGCCUUGGCUCAAGUCCCUUGGAACAGGGUGUCAUAGAGGGUGAGAACCCCGUGAAGCCUUGGCUUGCCGCUAUGUGAUACGCUUUCAAAGAGUCGGGUUGUUUGGGAUUGCAGCCCUAAUCGGGAGGUAAAUUUCUUCUAAAGCUAAAUACUGGCGAGAGACCGAUAGCGAACAAGUACCGUGAGGGAAAGAUGAAAAGAACUUUGAAAAGAGAGUUAAACAGUACGUGAAAUUGUCAAAAGGGAAUGGCUUGAAACCAGUCAUGCUGUCUGGAAUUCAGCAGGCCACACCGGCCUGUCCACUUUCCAGAUGGCAGGUCAACGUCAGUUUUCUUCGUGUCGAAAGGCCUUGGGAAGGUAGCGAGCCUUCGGGCGCGUGUUAUAGCCCCUGGCUCUGGCAUGUGGGGAGACUGAGGACCGCAGGGCGCACUGGGUUAACCGGUCAGGCGAAUACCUUUUGGCGGACUGCACGCAGGCCGUCAGAAGGCAUAAACCUUUGCCGGCUACACCUCUCCGUCCCUUAGGACGUUGACGAAAUGGUUUUAAACCACCCGUCUU